UGAUUUUUUGCGCGCACUAAC
rnacentral:piRNA from 1 species